rnacentral:rRNA from 1 species
CAGUAGCCGCGGGAAUACAGAGGGUGCAAGCGUUAAUCGGAUUUACUGGGCGUAAAGGGCGCGUAGGUGGUUAUGUAAGUGAGAUGUGAAAUCCCCGGGCUCAACCUGGGAACUGCAUCUUAUACUGCGUAGCUGGAGUGCAGUAGAGGGUAGUGGAAUUUCCGGUGUAGCGGUGAAAUGCGUAGAUAUCGGAAGGAACACCAGUGGCGAAGGCGGCUACCUGGACUGACACUGACACUGAGGCGCGAAAGCGUGAGGAGCAAACAGGAUUAGAUACCCCGGUAGUCCCUGUCUCUUAUAC